UACGGGGGGAGCGAACGUUGUUCGGAAUCACUGGGCGUAAAGGGCGCGUAGGCGGCUUCGUAAGUGAGAUGUGAAAGCCCCUGGCUCAACCAGGGAACUGCGUCUCAUACUGCGGGGCUUGAGUACAGGAGAGGAUGGGGGAAUUCCCGGUGUAGCGGUGAAAUGCAUUGAUAUCGGGAGGAACACCAGUGGCGAAGGCGCCCAUCUGGCCUGUUACUGACGCUGAGGCGCGAAAGCCGGGGGAGCAAACAGG
rnacentral:rRNA from 1 species